rnacentral:misc_RNA from 1 species
UCCGGUUUGUCACCGGCAGUCUCUUAUGAGUUCCCACCAUUACGUGCUGGCAACAUAAGACGAGGGUUGCGCUCGUUGCGGGACUUAACCCAACAUCUCACGACACGAGCUGACGACAACCAUGCACCACCUGUGUACAGACCUUGCGGGGGAACCAUCUCUGGAACUUUCCUGUACAUGUCAAGCCUUGGUAAGGUUCUUCGCGUUGCAUCGAAUUAAACCACAUGCUCCACCGCUUGUUCGGGCCCCCGUCAAUUCCUUUGAGUUUCAGCCUUGCGGCCGUACUCCCCAGGCGGGGCACUUAAUGCGUUAGCGCCGACCCUCGGGGGGUCGCUCCCCCAAGCGCCUAGUGCCCAUCGUUUACGGCGUGGACUAC